UACGGAGGGGGCUAGCGUUGUCCGAAGUUACUGGGCGUAAAGCGCGCGUAGGCGGGUUGGUAAGUCCGCUGUGAAAGCCCGGAGCUCAACUCCGGAGGGUCGGUGGAUACUGCCAGUCUUGAAGGUGCUAGGGGGAGAUGGAAUUACCGGUGUAGCGGUGGAAUGCGCAGAUAUCAGGAGGAACACCGAUGGCGAAGGCAGAUCUCUGGGCCAUUACUGACGCUGAGGAGCGAAAGCGUGGGGAGCGAACAGG
rnacentral:rRNA from 1 species